GCUUUAUCAACGGACGUAAAUCGCCUCAAAUCAUUGACCGGAAAACAGAUAAAACAAAACAGCACAGCAAAAGAACAUGCGUGCUGAUUGCCUACAAGUUUGUUGAUAUAAACUAGUUAUAAAGCAGCGCUUCAAAGGCGGGAUGCAAUCAGUUCUGCUUUAAACUUCCGAUGGCGAUUUAGCAAACAGCAGCAUAAUGUUAAAAGUGAGUGUGUGAGUUCUAAAACACAUCAGUAUUAACCAUUCUAGUAACAGGCGGCGUCCUUUUUGAGCUUCCCCAAGCUAAAAACUCCGAUCAAGGUCAAGAAUGGAAUCUGGUUCGUGAAAGCAAGGGUGUCAUCGAACAGCAAGAACCGGAUGCGGAAAUAGAUCAGCAACGAAAUCCACAGAAAGUAAGCGACGAUGCUGCACUACCAAAUUAUGAAUUCGCCUAUGGAGUCCACGAUCCGGUUACCGGUGACCAUAAGGAUCAGUGGGAGAAACGUGUGGGAGAUCACGUCCAAGGUGUGUACACACUGGACCAACCAAAUGGCAAAAAGCGAAUAGUCGAAUAUGAAGGUGAUCAGCGUGGCGUUAAACAAGUCGUUAAAGAAGUUGAUAUUGUUAGUGAACUUAGUCGACGGGAACAGUUGAAUGGUAUUGGCCAUAGUUACAAUAUUUUAGACAAAAUUGAUUCAUCAGUAAUUAAAUGAUUGCGUAUGGUGUGUCUGAUAAAUUAUGAGGUCUGUUGCUGAGCAUUAUGUCUGUUUUCGUAUAAAAAGCACGGAAAUUUGAACUCUCAUAUCUCAUAUCUCGCAAUGUAUCUACCGAUUUAGUCACCGAUUUAUAUUACUAAGGUUACACUAGACAUGAUAAACUUGUUAUACUCUGAAAACAGUUUACGUACCUAUAUUAACUAUACUAAAUUUUAUAGCCUUAAGUCUGAAGGCUAUGUGGUUUAAACAAAACACUUUUGUCAGACAUGUCAUAGAAGAACCGACAGUUAUCAAUUCAUAAUUAUGAAGCACUUUUUUCAAUCCCUACUGCAAAAUGCCAUAAGGAUAAUAAGAUGAUAUUAAAUGUGAAAAAAACAUACUAGAGCAUUGCGGCUCAGAAAAGUGUCAAACACGACUUAGCCUACCAAAUAAAAGAACUAUUUAAAAAAAAGGCCCACAAUGAACAUUUUGAUAAAGUAUGCAACUUCCCUAGGUUGUGGGUUGAGGUCGAAUAAAGUAUAACAACAAUUAUUGCCAGAAAUGCGCUUGAUAUUGCCCACACGAACCAUGCACUGUUUAUAAUAUUUGGAACAACUUGUGGUACUCGCCAACAUUUAAUUUUAUUUUAGAGAAAUAAUGAAAAA